rnacentral:lncRNA from 1 species
UUUUUUUUUUGGAAAAACUUUGUUAAUGAGGUAGAAGCACUCCCCUCCUUUCAUGGAUGCACUACAGGUCACACUUGAAAGCAAAACUGGCAUCUUUUUUUCUCAUUAAACUUUUGUUUUGAUGGGUCUCAAAAUUGUGUGACAGAUUUUUGGUCAAGUUGUUUCCAUUAAAAAGUACUGAUUUUAGGGGAUCCCUGGAUGGCUCAGUGGUUUGGUGCCUGCCUUUGGCCCAGGGCGUGGUCCUGGAGUCUUGGGAUCGAGUGCCACGUUGGUCUCCCUGCGUGGAGCCUGCUUCUCCCUCUGCCUGUGUCUCUGCCUCUCUCUCUGUGUCUCUCAUGAAUAAAUAAAUAAAAUCUUUAAAAAAGGUACUGAUUUUAAAAACUAAUAACUUAAAACUGCCAUACACGCAAAAAAAUAAAGCACAAAUGGUCCACAAAACAUUCUCCUUUCCUUCUGAAGGUUUUACAUGCAUUGUUAUCAUUAACCAGUCUUUUACUAUUAUACUUAAAUGGCCAAUUGACAAGGUUCUGAGACUGUUCCUCCACCACUGAUUAAGACUGGGGUGGCAGGUAUUGAUAAUAUUCAUUUAGCCUUUUGAGCUUUCUGGGCAGACUUGGUGACUUUGCCAGCUCCAGCUGCCUUCUUGUCCACUGCUUUGAUGACACCCACAGCAACUGUCUGUCUCAUGCCACGAACAACAAAGCAGCCCAGAGGAGGAUAGUCAGAGAAGCUCUCAACACACAUAGGUUUGCCAAAACUGGCAUCUUCUAAAACUCUAGCAUUCCUAGAAUCAGAAGAUACAAAUGCAGUCUCUUUAUGGUUUUUUGUUUAAGACUUAACUUGUUUGAGAGAGAAAAAGAGAGGGCAAGGGGGAGGGCAGAGAGGGAGAGAGUCUUAAGCAGAUUCCAUGCUGAUAGCUGAGCCCAACACAGGGCUUGAUCUCAAGACCUGAGAUCAAGACUUGAGCCAAAACCAAGAGUCAGAUGUUUAACCAAUUGUGCCACCCAGGUGCCUCUCCUUCUUUUUUUAAAUGACUUUCAGUACCAUGUAACCAGGGUCUGUAUUUUCAUAUAUAGUUACCUCUGACUCCAUUGACUGUUGCCUUCACGUUUCCAGCAUUCAUUUGUCCUGGGUCUUAUUCAUGGGUUUCCCCAUUCAACACAGUAAGGCCAUCAGGUUAGUUACUUUCUUGUCUCUUUUUUAAAGCUACCUGGACGGACAGCUUUGUGCCCAAACCAUGAGAGAACACAGUCUCUGCAUUUCCUCCAUUCAAACAUGAACUUCUGAGCCCCUUGAAUCUCUUCACUCAGUUCAUAAGGACUGAAGGACUAGGGGGCCUGCAUCAGCCCACUAGAGGUUUGGUUCAGCGAACUGAGACUAUAACCACAAUCCACUUGAAAACAUCACACGAUACUUGGAAUGCUUCUCCAUUUCCAAAGCAGCAUUCUUUUGUGACUUUACUGGAGUUCUAAAUACCUUUAAGGUGUUAGUAUAAAGGCACUUCUUUUUUGUACUUAUUUUAUAUAUACACCUUCUUUGUACUGGAGCCCACUAAAAGCUACCCCAAAAACUGAAAAACAAAAACAAAAAUCAGGCAUGCUUAAAAAAACUCAACAUAUACAGGAGGAAGAUGAUUUGGACACUAAGUAUGGAAACAAGAUUAGUGAAACGAAGGGCGGGGGAAAGUAGAGAUGUCUAUUGGUUUUAUCACUUACAGGGACUUGUAGUCUGAAUAUUCAAGCGUUAAACACAAUUGAUAUUUUUCAUAUCUACACCAUUUGUAUGAUACUCGGAAAUAACCUUUUGAAGUUUCAGAUUUGGUGUAUUUCCAAUUUUCUCCUUUUCAUGAAAGAUUUGACUCCACAUUCCUUUAAAUAUUUAGUUGUACUUUUAGCAUUACUACAGUCGUAUACUUCAUCUUAAAGGGCAAGCUUUUCAAGAGCAACUAUUUUAGAGUCACCUGUCUUUGCUACACAGCUGUGACAUCCUUAAAGAUGAUCCACAUGCAUUGGAAAAGACACCAUCCUUAAAGAUGAUCCACAUGCAUUGGAAAAGACAUCCAUCCAUCCAAAGACAUUCCCAACUACUAGGGAAGCAUUCUGAUGUACAUAUACACACACACAGUUUCAGUUACAUAUAAGUAGAUGAUAAGCGAAGAAACAGUCAGUGGUAUAAUGUUAAUGGAUGAUGGGAAAGCUCAGUUAUCUGAUUCCUAUUACACUUUGCCUUUUCUGAAAAAGAAUAAAUACUGGCAAAAAGGCAUUUAUGGUCCAAAUGGGUGAAGAGAUUCUAGAAAAGACACAGCUGCUAUAAAUAUCAAAUAAUCUGGCCUAGGUUAAUUUUUUUCCCAGAGAACUAAGAGUCUCCAAAUAAGGUCUCUAAAGGCUGAGUCAUCAGAGGUGCUGAGAAAAACGGAAGGCAUGCUGGAAGAGCACAGAAACAUAGAAAGGCAAUUCCUGUCUUUCAAAAAGUGCAAACAGGUAGUUCCAAAAACUGCAGAGCAAUGAACUUGACAUAAUCCUGGGCAACAUUCUGGGAUGGAUUACUAAAGGCAGGGCCCAUGAGAAUUUAGAAAGGAGAGUCGUAAUCUCCAGGAACCCACCCGGGCUCACCAAAAACAGUUCAUGUCAGAUUAACCUUACCUUCUCUCAUAUUACAAAAUAAUUUAAUAGAUUAUGUAAACAGGUAGGGCAAUCUGGAUUUCAGAAGGACAUGUAAUAAGGUUUUCAUAUUUCUGUCAGUAAAGUGGAGAAAUAAAUACAAGUGGAUUGUUAAUUCAUUCACUCAUUUAACAAAUAUUAAGUGUAUCUGUUAAGCACUCUGCUAGGCACUGAGGACUCUGUUCUCAGAGUUUCUCAAGAGGAGGAGUCAAAACCCAAAAACUCAAAUAAAAUGUAUGCAAGUUCUUGUAAUAAAGACUAUGAAGGAAACAAAACCAGGGUAGAGAUAGAAAACAAUACGAGGAGGGAACUCUCCUUUAAAUGGCAUGAUUAGGUCUUUCCGAGGAGGUGACACUUAAACUUAGGUGUAAAGAAUAAAAAGGACGCAUUUUAUUAUGUGGAAGAAUGGGGAGAUGAGAAUUUCGGAAGGGAGCAACACAUGCAAAGGCCCUGAGGUGGGAAAGUGACUGGAGUGUCUGAGCCAUUGGAAGGACAGUGUGACAGGAGAGUAGUGAAUAAGGGGCAAAAUAGUGCUGGAAAAAGUUGGGAGAAACAGGCUGGGGCACUCCCCAGGUAAUGAGCUAGAGAGUAUGAAUGAGGAACUCUAGUGGCCUAUUCUUUCAACACUUUUAGCAAUGGUUUAGAAUCUAUUCUUAUCAGUUGUUGAAAGUCUACUGUCCUCUUGAGAUGUCAGUAAAAAAUCACAGUGUUGGAAGAAAUAUCAAUUUGGCUGGCCAAAUUAGUAUCCAGAAAGUUAGUGGAUCAGGGCUUAGUUCUGACCUCAGACCUGUGCUUCAAUCUAGCUCUGACAUUCACUCUCUCUGUGACCUUGGACAAGUUACUUACCCCUCUAGGUCAGGUAUCAAAGACACGCAGAGGAUUAGACACAUACAGCUCAGGUAAAUCUUAUGCACUACAGAAAAAUCCAUCUGCUGCACCAGGUUAUAUAUUGUUUGCUGGGCCUGGAAGCUGUUCUGGCAGCUUUCCCUCUAGUAUUAUUUUAAGUACGUCACCCAGCGUCUGACAUAAGUGUUUAUAGAUCAAAUGGUGACCCUUACAUUUGUUUUGUUCAUGUCACCAAUAAACUAUACUGCCUUUCAGACUAUGACUGUUGAAAGGAUGAGAAAUUUAGCAUAGCCAAAUUUUAGAAAUUAAUUAUGGCCUUCUAAUCUUAUCAUCAUCAUUAAGAAGUUGCUGUAAGGUAAGACAAUGUUUUAAAGAUAGGGUUUGCAAAUUUAUAUCAUCCACAGUGUUGGAACUACUAGAUCAAGAAAUUUUUCUAUUCCUGUAAUGUCAUUAAAAUUCAAUAUUCUCUCAAUUGCACCCAAGGGCACCUACAAAAUAUUUAUAAAAUUAAAUGACAAAGUCUUCAGUAAUUAUUACAGUUCAAUUUUAAAAGUAUCUUAAGGGGUUUAAGAAAAACCCUAUAUAUUUCAAAUAAUUCAUCCUAAAAAUAGGAGCAAUGAAAGGUGGGAUUAAGUGCCUAAUUGUAUGUCUUUUAAAGCAGAUGAGAAAAGAUCAAACCAUUUAGUGUAAUGAUAAAUUUAACCUGAAGUUAAAAAAAAAAUACCCCCAAAUCUUGAAUUUCCAGUUAGAAAGGGAUGCUUAGUAAACACCUAGAGAAAGAAAUGUUGGAUGGUAAUAUUACAUAUUUCUAAAUAUAAUCCUGACUACUAAAUAAAAAUCCAAUACAGGUUUCACUUACUAAAAUUAACGAGAAAAAUCUUCAUCAGUCAUAAUAGCAUGUGGGGGGGCUAAAUUCACGAACUCCCUUACCUUGCCAUGCUUUCAGCAUUUUUGUCAGAUAAGAACUUUUUUGAUGUUCCUUUAGAUUUUACUUAUUUUUCCUAUUUUCUCUAUGCAAGUGUAUCUAGGAGUGAUGAAGUUUUCCUUAUUUGAGCAAAUAUUUAUUCAUUCUGUGCAUUAAAAAUGUGACUUUCAAAAAUAUACUCUCCAUAUUUUGCUUUAUUUAAAAACAGGAUGCAGAUUAUAUUAAAUGGGAGAUACUAGCUUGGCUUAUGAUUUGCUCGAAUUUGGAGAAACUAUGACAAAUUUAACUCAAAAUCUCCUAAGCAAGCAUAUUGCUUGCCUGCCUUUA